UCGAGAAUCUUCGGCAAUGGACGCAAGUCUGACCGAGCGACGCCGCGUGCGGGAUGAAGGUCUUCGGAUUGUAAACCGCUGUCAGAGGGGAUGAAGUGUAUGGGGGUACUCCCCUGUACUUGACAGAGCCUCAGAGGAAGCACGGGCUAAGUUCGUGCCAGCAGCCGCGGUAAUACGAACUGUGCGAACGUUAUUCGGAAUCACUGGGCUUAAAGGGUGCGUAGGCGGUUAUCUAAGUCAGGUGUGAAAUCUCUCGGCUCAACCGGGAAACUGCGCUUGAAACUGGGUGACUGGAGGGAUGCAGGGGUGUGUGGAACUUCCGGUGGAGCGGUGAAAUGUGUAGAUAUCGGAAGGAACGCCAGCAGCGAAAGCGGCACACUGGGCAUCUACUGACGCUGAGGCACGAAAGCUAGGGGAGUGAACGG
rnacentral:rRNA from 1 species